UUCUAUGGUUUUUAGAAAUGCAUACAGUUCUGGAACCACCAUCACAGUCAAGCUGUGAAACAUUUCCAUCACCCCAUAUGUUACUGCUCUUACCAGAGUCUUCAGCCCCUCAAGCAACUGUGAAAUUGGUAGGAAGGGGUUCUGCCCCAGGACAACACUGACCUUCCUUUGUUUCCUCCUCAGGAUUACCGCUGGUGGUGGAGAAAUUUCCUAGUCUCCGGGGGCUCUGCAUUCUACGUCCUGGUUUAUGCCAUCUUUUAUUUCGUUAACAAGCUGGACAUCGUGGAGUUCAUCCCCUCUCUCCUCUACUUUGGCUACACAGCCCUCAUGGUCUUGUCCUUCUGGCUGCUCACGGGUACCAUCGGCUUCUAUGCAGCCUACAUGUUUGUUCGCAAGAUCUAUGCUGCCGUGAAGAUAGACUGAUAGGAGUGGACCACGGCCAGGCCCGCUCCGUCCUCGGACAGGAAGCCACCCUGCGUGGGGGACUGCAGGCACGCAAAAUAAAAUAACUCUUGCUCGUUUGGAAUGUAACUCCUGGCACAGUGUUCCUGGAUCCUGGGGCUGCG
rnacentral:sRNA from 1 species